CUGCCCAGUGAACACCAAGAGUGCCUUAGUUCCUGGGCUCUGACUCUGUGCUAGAGCCAUGUCUGUUCUUUUCCUCUAGAGUGAAAGGGCUAUUUGUCCUUUACAAUGUACUCAGAAAGUCAGCACAGCA
ensembl:snoRNA